UUUUUACUAAGUGUCAGGUUAAUUAAUUUGCUCAACAUUACACAAUUAGUGUUACGCCAGAAUUCAAAUACGAAUUUACCAUGCUUUUUCCACUGCCCUCACCAGCCAAAAUUAGAAUCCCCACACCUCUGUAAAGUGAUGAAUGAUCCUGGGUUUAAGCAGCAGCUAGUUCAGUGUCCUUAUCUCUAAGGUCAAGGUUUUUAUUUCACGAGGGGCAUCUAGGAGUUGCUGUUCCUCAGCAAGGCCUGGAAAUAAAGGGUCAGAAGAGAGAGAUAUAAGAGGAGAAGAGGUCCCCAGCUGUGAGAGGACAACCCCCUGUGCUUGAUGUGAAUAAGGAGAAGGAACACUGCUCUCUGGGAAGACUCUGCCAACAGCCUAAUUGUUGCUUCAAGGGGGACAGGGAUACAGAAUAGGAAACCUCAGCACAUCAGAUGAUCCCUGAUUCCAGAGACACACGAUGUGCUCUCCGUGGUUGGAAAGCCACCUUUGAGAUAUGGGUGCUCGCCUGGGCAGAUCUAAACCGGCCUUAGGGAGGCCUGGCCCCCUGAAUCUUGAUGCCCAGCCCAGUGUCCCGCACAGCACGGGGACUUUUUCAAUGGUGAAUGAGGAAUAAAGGAAAUGCAUCCCACUCUA